rnacentral:rRNA from 1 species
UAAGCUAGUAAGACCCCUUGAAGAACACAAGGUUGAUAGGUCAGAGGUGUAAGUAUGGUAACAUAUUUAGCUGACUGAUACUAAUAGGUCGAGGGCUUGACCAAAUAA